rnacentral:rRNA from 1 species
UGUAAGCGUGUACCAAAGUUGUUGCAGUUAAAACGCUCGUAGUCGGACUUUGGCAGUUCCGGAUGUGUGCACGUCGUGUGCGCACUUCGCGGGGAUUGCUUUUGUGGUCUUGCGUAGGAUGAGGCACUUUUAUUAGUGAACGUCCUCACGCAACCACUUUUUACUGUGAGAAAAUCAGAGUGCUCAAAGCAGGCAUUUGCCGUGAAUGUAUUAGCAUGGAAUAAUAGAAUAGGACUUGGUUCUAUUUUGUUGGUUUGUUGGGACUGAGUAAUGAUUAAGAGGGACAGUUGGGGGCAUUUGUAUUUCGGUGCUAGAGGUGAAAUUCUUAGAUUACCGAAAGACAAACUGCUGCGAAAGCGUCUGCCAAGGAUGUUUUCAUUGA